AACGAACGCUGGCGGCAUGCCUAACACAUGCAAGUCGAACGAGACCUUCGGGUCUAGUGGCGCACGUGUGCGUAACGCGUGGGAACCUGCCCUUAGGUUCGGAAUAACUCCCCGAAAGGGGUGCUAAUACCGGUUAAUGUCUUCGGACCAAAGAUUUAUGGCCUUUGGAUGGGCCCGCGUUGGAUUAGCUAGUUGGUAGUGUAAAAGCCUACCAAGGCGACGAUCCAUAGCUGGUCUGAGAGGAUGAUCAGCCACACUGGGACUGAGACACGGCCCAGAAUCCUACGGGAGGCAGCAGUGGGGAAUAUUGGACAAUGGGCGAAAGCCUGAUCCAGCAAUGCCGCGUGAGUGAUGAAGGCCUUAGGGUUGUAAAGCUCUUUUACCCGGGAUGAUAAUGACAGUACCGGGAGAAUAAGCUCCGGCUAACUCCGUG
rnacentral:rRNA from 1 species